rnacentral:tRNA from 1 species
UUAGCUCAAUUGGUAGAGUAUUUCGUUUACACCGAAAAUGUUAGCGGUUCGAGUCCGUUAUUAUU